CAAUAGCCUCUUUGAAUUCUUGCAGAAGGGUUGAGAUCUUUAUGAUGCAAGAGAAAUGCAUUACUUGGUUUCAUUCCUUAAUGUCUAGCUUUGUUGUUUGGUAUUUUAAGCUUUUAUUUAACUUUGACAAAUCACAAGCCUGGAAAUUAGUAUAGAAAGUCAGGUGUCCAAGAGCAGUGCACUAAUUAGCUUCAUUCUGAAGAAGCUUCAUUUGUACAAGUUGCACAACACUACAUAUUACAGGGCAGUGGGAGGCUCCAGGUAUAUCUAUGGGCACAGACAAAAGUAACAACUGAAAUAUUUUCAUGGGAAAUGCACUUGGAAACAUUUAAUAAAGGGAAUAUUUCAACCAGGGGACACAUGUGCCCCUUUGCUAUUACUGGCUGGAAAGCUUCAGAAUGCGGCAGCCUCUUCUAGAGCCCGUCACUCUGGUCUCACCACCAGGAGUCUGACGCCCCAGCUCCAAUCUCCUUUAGCCCUCCUCUCCACCCCCCAGCAGAGGAGUAUAGGGUACUGGGGUUGAAGGACCAGGCUUCAGGAGUGGCAGGGGCCCUGGGCGUCAACAGAGUUCUGGACCAGUAGUGGGGAGGGGUAAAUCUGGCUCUGGCAAUGGAGACCUGGCAGCAUCCCAGGAUAAAGAACAAGACCCAACAGCUGGAAAGCAGGCAGCCUGCCCACCUUAUCUCCCCACCCUUCUCUGUCCA